UACGUAGGGACCAAGCGUUGUUCGGAUUUACUGAGCGUAAAGGGCGCGUAGGCGGCCUGAUAAGUAGGGGGUGAAAUCCUGUGGCUUAACUGCAGGGCUGCCUCCUAGACUGUUAGGCUCGAGCACGGUAGAGGCAGAUGGAAUUCCCGGUGUAGCGGUGGAAUGCGUAGAGAUCGGGAAGAACAUCGGUGGCGAAGGCGGUCUGCUGGGCCGUUGCUGACGCUGAGGCGCGACAGCGUGGGGAGCAAACAGG
rnacentral:rRNA from 1 species